rnacentral:rRNA from 1 species
CGGAGGAAAAGAAACCAACAGGGAUUGCCCUAGUAACGGCGAGUGAAGCGGCAACAGCUCAAAUUUGAAAUCUGGCCCCUUUGGGGUCCGAGUUGUAAUUUGCAGAGGGUGCUUUGGCGUUGGCGGCGGUCUAAGUUCCUUGGAACAGGACAUCGCAGAGGGUGAGAAUCCCGUAUGUGGUCGCCUGCCUUCGCCGUGUAAAGCCCCUUCGACGAGUCGAGUUGUUUGGGAAUGCAGCUCUAAAUGGGAGGUAAAUUUCUUCUAAAGCUAAAUACCGGCCAGAGACCGAUAGCGCACAAGUAGAGUGAUCGAAAGAUGAAAAGCACUUUGGAAAGAGAGUCAAACAGCACGUGAAAUUGUUGAAAGGGAAGCGCUUGCAGCCAGACUUGCCUGUAGUUGCUCACCCGGGCUCCUGCCCGGGGCACUCUUCUGCAGGCAGGCCAGCAUCAGUUUGGGCGGUUGGAUAAAGGGCUCUGACACGUACUUCCCUUCGGGGUUGACAUACAGGGGAGCCGCAAUGCGACCUGCCCGGACUGAGGUCCGCGC